rnacentral:rRNA from 1 species
GGUUAAGCGACUAAGCGUACACGGUGGAUGCCCUGGCAGUCAGAGGCGAUGAAGGGCGUGCUAAUCUGCGAUAAGCGCCGGUAAGGUGAUAUGAACCGUUAUAACCGGCGAUACCCGAAUGGGGAAACCCAGUGUGAUUCGUCACACUAUCAUUAACUGAAUCCAUAGGUUAAUGAGGCGAACCGGGGGAACUGAAACAUCUAAGUACCCCGAGGAAAAGAAAUCAACCGAGAUUCCCCCAGUAGCGGCGAGCGAACGGGGAGGAGCCCAGAGCCUGAAUCAGCAUGUGUGUUAGUGGAAGCGUCUGGAAAGGCGCGCGAUACAGGGUGACAGCCCCGUACACAAAAGCGCAUGUGCUGUGAGCUCGAUGAGUAGGGCGGGACACGUGGUAUCCUGUCUGAAUAUGGGGGGACCAUCCUCCAAGGCUAAAUACUCCUGACUGACCGAUAGUGAACCAGUACCGUGAGGGAAAGGCGAAAAGAACCCCGGCGAGGGGAGUGAAAAAGAACCUGAAACCGUGUACGUACAAGCAGUGGGAGCCCCACCACCAAAGCAUUCUCUGGUGUUGAAGGCCCUGCAAAGCAGCAUCGCGGUGGCGGAGCGUCGUUUGCGACGCCCAACACACAAAACAAGCGGUGAAUGCUUUGGGGUGGGGUGACUGCGUACCUUUUGUAUAAUGGGUCAGCGACUUAUAUUCUGUAGCAAGGUUAACCGAAUAGGGGAGCCGGAGGGAAACCGAGUCUUAAUUGGGCGUUAAGUUGCAGGGUAUAGACCCGAAACCCGGUGAUCUAGCCAUGGGCAGGUUGAAGGUUGGGUAACACUAACUGGAGGACCGAACCGACUAAUGUUGAAAAAUUAGCGGAUGACCUGUGGCUGGGGGUGAAAGGCCAAUCAAACCGGGAGAUAGCUGGUUCUCCCCGAAAGCUAUUUAGGUAGCGCCUCGUGAAUUCAUCUCCGGGGGUAGAGCACUGUUUCGGCUAGGGGGCCAUCCCGGCUUACCAACCCGAUGCAAACUGCGAAUACCGGAGAAUGUUAUCACGGGAGACACACGGCGGGUGCUAACGUCCGUCGUGAAGAGGGAAACAACCCAGACCGCCAGCUAAGGUCCCAAAGUCAUGGUUAAGUGGGAAACGAUGUGGGAAGGCCCAGACAGCCAGGAUGUUGGCUUAGAAGCAGCCAUCAUUUAAAGAAAGCGUAAUAGCUCACUGGUCGAGUCGGCCUGCGCGGAAGAUGUAACGGGGCUAAACCAUGCACCGAAGCUGCGGCAGCGACGCUGAUGCGUUGUUGGGUAGGGGAGCGUUCUGUAAGCCUGCGAAGGUGACCUGUGAGGGUUGCUGGAGGUAUCAGAAGUGCGAAUGCUGACAUAAGUAACGAUAAAGCGGGUGAAAAGCCCGCUCGCCGGAAGACCAAGGGUUCCUGUCCAACGUUAAUCGGGGCAGGGUGAGUCGACCCCUAAGGCGAGGCCGAAAGGCGUAGUCGAUGGGAAACGGGUUAAUAUUCCCGUACUUGGUGUUACUGCGAAGGGGGGACGGAGAAGGCUAUGUUGGCCGGGCGACGGUUGUCCCGGUUUAAGCGUGUAGGUGUGUGUUCCAGGUAAAUCCGGUUCACUUUAACACUGAGGCGUGACGACGAGGCACUACGGUGCUGAAGCAACAAAUGCCCUGCUUCCAGGAAAAGCCUCUAAGCAUCAGGUAACAUCAAAUCGUACCCCAAACCGACACAGGUGGUCAGGUAGAGAAUACCAAGGCGCUUGAGAGAACUCGGGUGAAGGAACUAGGCAAAAUGGUGCCGUAACUUCGGGAGAAGGCACGCUGACACGUAGGUGAAGUGAUUUACUCAUGGAGCUGAAGUCAGUCGAAGAUACCAGCUGGCUGCAACUGUUUAUUAAAAACACAGCACUGUGCAAACACGAAAGUGGACGUAUACGGUGUGACGCCUGCCCGGUGCCGGAAGGUUAAUUGAUGGGGUCAGCGCAAGCGAAGCUCCUGAUCGAAGCCCCGGUAAACGGCGGCCGUAACUAUAACGGUCCUAAGGUAGCGAAAUUCCUUGUCGGGUAAGUUCCGACCUGCACGAAUGGCGUAAUGAUGGCCAGGCUGUCUCCACCCGAGACUCAGUGAAAUUGAACUCGCUGUGAAGAUGCAGUGUACCCGCGGCAAGACGGAAAGACCCCGUGAACCUUUACUAUAGCUUGACACUGAACAUUGAGCCUUGAUGUGUAGGAUAGGUGGGAGGCUUUGAAGUGUGGACGCCAGUCUGCAUGGAGCCGACCUUGAAAUACCACCCUUUAAUGUUUGAUGUUCUAACGUGGACCCGUAAUCCGGGUUGCGGACAGUGUCUGGUGGGUAGUUUGACUGGGGCGGUCUCCUCCUAAAGAGUAACGGAGGAGCACGAAGGUUGGCUAAUCCUGGUCGGACAUCAGGAGGUUAGUGCAAUGGCAUAAGCCAGCUUGACUGCGAGCGUGACGGCGCGAGCAGGUGCGAAAGCAGGUCAUAGUGAUCCGGUGGUUCUGAAUGGAAGGGCCAUCGCUCAACGGAUAAAAGGUACUCCGGGGAUAACAGGCUGAUACCGCCCAAGAGUUCAUAUCGACGGCGGUGUUUGGCACCUCGAUGUCGGCUCAUCACAUCCUGGGGCUGAAGUAGGUCCCAAGGGUAUGGCUGUUCGCCAUUUAAAGUGGUACGCGAGCUGGGUUUAGAACGUCGUGAGACAGUUCGGUCCCUAUCUGCCGUGGGCGCUGGAGAACUGAGGGGGGCUGCUCCUAGUACGAGAGGACCGGAGUGGACGCAUCACUGGUGUUCGGGUUGUCAUGCCAAUGGCACUGCCCGGUAGCUAAAUGCGGAAGAGAUAAGUGCUGAAAGCAUCUAAGCACGAAACUUGCCCCGAGAUGAGUUCUCCCUGAGACUUUAGGUCUCCUGAAGGAACGUUGAAGACGACGACGUUGAUAGGCCGGGUGUGUAAGCGCAGCGAUGCGUUGAGCUAACCGGUACUAAUGAACCGUGAGGCUUAACCUU